rnacentral:rRNA from 1 species
AGAGUUUGAUCCUGGCUCAGGAUGAACGCUGGCGGCGUGCUUAACACAUGCAAGUCGAACGAAGCGCUUGGAUGGAAUUCUUCGGAAGGAAGCUCAAGUGACUGAGUGGCGGACGGGUGAGUAACGCGUGGGUAACCUGCCUCAUACAGGGGGAUAACAGUUAGAAAUGACUGCUAAUACCGCAUAAGCACACGUGAUCGCAUGAUCGAGUGUGAAAAACUCCGGUGGUAUGAGAUGGACCCGCGUCUGAUUAGCUAGUUGGUGGGGUAAUGGCCCACCAAGGCGACGAUCAGUAGCCGGCCUGAGAGGGUGAACGGCCACAUUGGGACUGAGACACGGCCCAAACUCCUACGGGAGGCAGCAGUGGGGAAUAUUGCACAAUGGAGGAAACUCUGAUGCAGCGAUGCCGCGUGAGGGAAGAAGGUUUUAGGAUUGUAAACCUCUGUCUUUGGGGACGAAAAAUGACGGUACCCAAGGAGGAAGCUCCGGCUAACUACGUGCCAGCAGCCGCGGUAAUACGUAGGGAGCGAGCGUUGUCCGGAAUUACUGGGUGUAAAGGGAGCGUAGGCGGGAUCGCAAGUCAGAUGUGAAAACUAUGGGCUUAACCCAUAAACUGCAUUUGAAACUGUGGUUCUUGAGUGAAGUAGAGGUAAGCGGAAUUCCUAGUGUAGCGGUGAAAUGCGUAGAUAUUAGGAGGAACAUCAGUGGCGAAGGCGGCUUACUGGGCUUUAACUGACGCUGAGGCUCGAAAGCGUGGGGAGCAAACAGGAUUAGAUACCCUGGUAGUCCACGCCGUAAACGAUGACUGAAAGGUGUCGGGUGGCGAAGGCCAUUCGGUGCCGCAGUUAACGCAAUAAGCAGUCCACCUGGGGAGUACGUUGGCAAGAAUGAAACUCAAAGGAAUUGACGGGGACCCGCACAAGCGGUGGAGCAUGUGGUUUAAUUUGAAGCAACGCGAAGAACCUUACCUGAUCUUGGCAUCCCGAUGACCGCUUCGUAAUGGAAGCUUUUCUUCGGAACAUCGGUGACAGGUGGUGCAUGGUUGUCGUCAGCUCGUGUCGUGAGAUGUUGGGUUAAGUCCCGCAACGGGCGCAACCCCUAUCCUCAGUAGCCAGCAUUUAAGGUGGGCACUCUGGGGAGACUGCCAGGGAUAACCUGGAGGAAGGCGGGGAUGACGUCAAAUCAUCAUGCCCCUUACGAUUUGGGCUACACACGUGCUACAAUGGCGUAAACAAAGGGAAGCGAGAUCGUGAGAUGGAGCAAAUCCCAAAAAUAACGUCCCAGUUCGGACUGUAGUCUGCAACCCGACUACACGAAGCUGGAAUCGCUAGUAAUCGCGGAUCAGAAUGCCGCGGUGAAUACAUUCCCGGGUCUUGCACACACCGCCCGUCA